CACGUGUAGCGGUAGAAAUGCGUAGAGAUGUGGAGGAACACCAGUGGCGAAGGCGGCUUUCUGGUCUGUAACUGACGCUGAGGCGCGAAAGCGUGGGGAGCAAACAGGAUUAGAUACCCUGGUAGUCCACGACCGUAAACGAUGAGUGCUAAGUGUAGGGGUUUCCGCCCCUUAGUGCUGCAGCUAACGCAUUAAGCACUCCGCCUGGGGAGUACGGCCGCAAAGGCUG
rnacentral:rRNA from 1 species